CCCGUAACUUUUCAGUUUUCACUUCGAUUCUUUGAAGUUCUCAGGCUUAGAACUAGGGUUUCGACUUCCGCGGUGGAAAAUUUUGAAUCACCUCCGGCGAGGUGACGACGACUGCUCCGCGCCUCCACCUGGACCACCUUCAUCCUCCACUAGGGUUCCGACUUCCGCGGCGGAAAAUUUUGAAUCACCUCGGCAAGGCGGCGACGACUGCUCGACACCUCUACCUGGAACACCUUCAUCCUCCACUACUCGGCUACUCCAGUCAUUCAGUCACUCAGACUCAGGCGUACUCGUAAGGCUGUCACUCUCGUCUCUCAGUCUCUCACUCAGGCGUCAGGCGAGGUCCGAGGACACAAGUCACUAGUUUAUGGUGAAUGUACCAUGGAUGAAAAUAUUAUAAUUGCUAAGGUUAUUGUGAAAGUGGGGCUUCUAAUUCAAAUGCAAAAAUCAAAGUCAAACUAUUGAGUCUAAAGUAAAUAAAGGAAGGAAAAAAAGAUCUCGUGAGUGGGAUUUGACUCGUAAAACUGAUAUUGAUGGAAGUGAAAAGGUUGUUUGUAACUAUUGUAACAAAGAGUAUUUUGCUGACACAAAAGAACAUGGUACAACGUCAAUGCUUACUCAUAUAAAAAAUGCACAAAGAUGCCUUAUAAUAUUGAUAUUAAACAAUUAAGAUUAGCAUUUCAACCAAUGAUAUGGGGUAACAAUGGUGAUGUAGUUGUUGUUCCAUGGAAAUUUGAUCAGGAAGAGUGUAGAAAAGCCUUGUGUUGUAUGGUAAUUAUUGAUGUGCUUCAUUUCAGAUUUGUUGAAAAAGAAGAUUUUAAACAAUUUAUGAAAGUAGCACAACCUUGUUUCCACAUUCCUUCCCGUAACAUUGUGACUCAUGAUUGUUUUGAUCUUUUUGAUGAAGAAAAAAGUAAGUUGAUGGUUGUUUUUAAGGAAACACAACAAAGGGUGUCUUUAACCACUGAUACUUGGACUUCCAUACAAAGAAUCAAUUAUAUGGUCAUUACUGCUCAUUGGAUUCAUAAAAAUUUGACUUUGCAUAAAAGAAUUAUCAACUUUUGUCCAAUCACUAGUCAUAGAGGUGAAGAUCUUCGAAAGUCUAUUAGUAAGUGCUUACAUGAGUAGGGAUUGCAUCAAAUUUUCACUGUAACAGUUGAUAAUGCUGGUUCAAAUAGUGUGGUAAUAACUGAGUUGUCUAUGCAAUUAACUAAAUGGGGAACCAACUUAAUGGGUGGUAGUCACCUUCAUAUAAGGUGUAUGGCUCAUAUUGUAAAUCUUAUUGUUCAAGAUGGUACAAAAGAAGCAAAUGUUCUAUUGAACGAGUUAGGCAAGCAUGGAGAUACAUCAGGCAAUCUCCUGCUAGGUGAAAAAAAUUUCAAGAAUGUUGUGAAGAUGAAAAUCUUGCGAAAAAGUCUUUAUGCUUGAAUGUUCCUACAAGGUGUAAUUCCACCUACAUGAUGUUGAGCAGGGUAAUUGAAUAUGAAGGAGAAAUUGUAGAGUACGCCGAUCGUUAUAUUGACUUGGCACUAUAUCUUAAGUUUGUUGAUAUAAAUUCUACCGGUACACUUUUGAGCAGUGAUUGGGAGGGCGUAAAAAGAAUUACAAAAUUUCUUGAAAUAUUUUUUAAUCUUACUUUAAAGAUAUCUGGUUCGCGAUAUGUUACAUCAAAUCUUUAUUUUCUUGAAAUUUGUCAAGUUGGUGUUUACUUGAAUCAAUUGAUAUCAAAUGAAGAUCAAGUUUUGGCUAAAAUGGCAGAAAAUAUGAAGGAGAAAUUUGACAAAUAUUGGGGUGAUGCUUCAAAAAUGUUUAAGAUGGUUUUCAUACCAUGUGUUUUGGAUCCUCGUCACAAAUUUAGUACUCUUGGAUUUGCACUUAAGAAGAUGUUUGGAGAAAAAGGGGCUGCUAUAGAAAAUGGUGUGCAAACGUACAUGGAAGCUUUGUUUAAUGAGUAUACACACCCCAUUUCAAAUGAUAAAAGUGGUCAAUUUUCUUCAACUGGUGUGGAUACUUCUAUUUCAAGUUUUGUAGGAGAAUUUGGAAAUUUUUUUGAGGAAUUACAUAAACAUAAAUCUGAAAAGGGAGGUGCAAGUUCAAAGUCAGAAUUAGUUAAAUAUCUUGAUGAAGAAACUGAAAUUGAAAAAUCAGAUUUUGAUGUAUUGAUUUGGUGGAUAGUUAACUCACCUAUAUUUUCAUUUCUUUCUGAGAUGGCUCGAUAUGUGUUGGCUAUUCCCGUUUCAAGUGUGGCGUCUGAAUGUGCUUUUAGUACUGAAGGGCACAUACUUGAUUUAUUUAGGAGUUCAUUAACUCCUAGAUUUGUACAAGCUCUAGUGUGCCUUCAAGAUUGGCUUCGGAGUGAGCCAUUAUCCAUAAGUAUUGAGGAAGAUUUAGAUUUUCUUGAGCAACUUGAAGAAGAUUUUGCUAAACUUGGAAAAGAACUUUGCAUUGAUGACAUGUAAAAUUGGAGGAAGGAAGAUUUCAUCAUGCAUCGAUCACUUGUUAGGAAUCACUAUGAAUAACUUGAAGAAAAUGAAGAUGGAUCGUGGAAGAAAUGAGGAAGAUAUGAAGUUUUAAUGUGGCUUCGCUGUACAGUGAUUGGAAGUUGUUGGUUGCACGUCGUUUGAGGUAAAUUUCAUGAUAAACUAGACUGUUGUAAUCUUUUUUGAGUUCUAAUUUUUUCUUUCCUGCCUUGGUCAUAUCUUGCUAAUUUUAGCUUACUUUUGGUGAUUCAAAGUCUCAUGUGUUGGUAUUGAUCGUGUUUACAUUGUAGAGUAUUCAAGGAUUGUUAGGCACCUUUCGAUUCUCAUAAAUUCCAAGUGAUAGCGUUCAAAGGUCAUUCGGGAAGGAAAAGCUCCGGCUAAGUGACUUGGAGAGCGCGUACUCGUCCUUAAGGUUGCAGUACCAAUUACCAGAGGUGAUUAGCUUCAGCCUUCUUUUGCAACUGUGAUUCAUAGACGAGGGAAGAAUAUCUCAACUAUAAAUAAAGAUGGUAUUCAUUUGGUGUAGGAAGAAGGAAAAAUAUAGUGAGGAAAAAAUUAGUCAAAAACGAGAGUUCUUAUUAGUUGAAGGGAAGUGUUCUAUUUGUGCAGCUUACUCAACUUUUGUCCUGAGUUGUUGAGUUAUACUUUGUGUUAACACUGUUGUAUCCUCGAAGGGACAUGUUAAGAAGGACUGCUGCUGGACCGGUGAAAAACAAUUGUUGUAGUGGGAUUAAAUCUCCUUAAAGAGACAAAUAUUUGUGUCUUAGCCCGAAGAGAUUUUAUUUAUUCAUUUCAUUUUUAAAAGUAAUAUUGUUUUUUUUUGCUAUUUUGUACUUUGCUAAAAAUAUUUAAGGAGAUUCUUAGUGGCUACAACUGAAAAAAUCUUGGAUGUCAAGAUGGGAGACCUUAACAAGUCAUUUCGGUCAAACGGUAACCAUUUCAAGAGAUGAAUGGGUAAAGUAUUUUUCUA